rnacentral:rRNA from 1 species
CCUACGGGUGGCUGCAGUAGGGAAUCUUCCACAAUGGGCGCAAGCCUGAUGGAGCAACGCCGCGUGGGUGAAGAAGGUCUUCGGAUCGUAAAACCCUGUUGUUAGAGAAGAAAGUGCGUGAGAGUACCUGAAGAAAAAGCAUCGGCUAACUCCGUGCCAGCAGCCGCGGUAAUACGGAGGAUGCGAGCGUUAUCCGGAUUUAUUGGGUUUAAAGGGUGCGUAGGCGGAGUGUCAAGUCAGCGGGAAAAUUUCGGGGCUCAACCCCGUCGUGCCGUUGAAACUGACGCCCUUGAGUGAGUGAGAAGUAAGCGGAAUGCGUGGUGUAGCGGUGAAAUGCAUAGAUAUCACGCAGAACGCCGAUGGCGAAGGCAGCUUACCGGCGCUCAACUGACGCUGAGGCACGAAAGUGCGGGUAUCGAACAGGAUUAGAUACCCGAGUAGUC